rnacentral:rRNA from 1 species
UACGAAGGGGGCUAGCGUUGCUCGGAAUCACUGGGCGUAAAGGGUGCGUAGGCGGGUCUUUUAAGUCAGGGGUGAAAUCCUGGAGCUCAACUCCAGAACUGCCUUUGAUACUGAGGAUCUUGAGUUCGGGAGAGGUGAGUGGAACUCCGAGUGUAGAGGUGAAAUUCGUAGAUAUUCGGAAGAACACCAGUGGCGAAGGCGACACACUGGCUCACUACUGACGCUGAGGCGCGAAAGCGUGGGGAGCAAACAGG